AGUCCAAAUGCUGGUUCAUCAUCAAAAAACAAACUAAGAGUUACAACUCAAAUAUCUCGUAACAGAUAAGUCAGGAAGGCCAGGGAGAGACUCCGGGGGUUUGGAGAAAGCUCCAUGUACAAGCAGAAAACUCUGAGGAGUUGGAAAUUUUCAUGGACUUUGACCUGUGAGACUGCCGCCGGAUAGAAUCCUCCCGGGAGUAUUUCACGGAACCUGAGGCCACACACUGUUUGACAGCAAUUCAAAUUAUGUUGCCAUUCUGAAGAAUUAAAUGUUUCUUAUGACCUUAGACUACGACAGCCAGAUAUUUCAAGAGGAAUUAUGUCAGUGUGUACGGCAAAUCCAGAAUAAAGAUGUUCUGUUACCUCUCUAGGAGACUGAGAAAAUGACUGGGGGGUUAGCACAGGUUAACUUUCAAUAUGGCACAGAGUGAGAGCAAUAAAGCUAACUCCGGGCAACAAGCAGCAAGCAGCUUUUCCAAAAGCCAUCAAUGUUCUGUCAGUGUACACAGCAAUGUGCAAGCCUCUGAGUACGAAUCACAAACUGGAGAUUACUAGAAAACAAGACCAUUUUAGCUCCUAACAUAUGAAGUGAGUUUUGAGCAUACUACUCAGGAUUGCGAUGUCUCACUAUCUGGCAUCCCAGGGACAGAGGCUCAGCCACAUAAGCGUGUUCUCCAGAUAAAGGAGGCUUUCGUGUUAAUAUAAAUAACAAAACUUAAACAUUGUUUACAAAGACCACUCUGGGAAAAACGUCAGCCUCAAUCCAUCCCACCCC
rnacentral:lncRNA from 1 species